rnacentral:sRNA from 1 species
CGAGAACUGAAGAUCCGGGGAUUUUGA